CCAAGGCUAAAUACUACUGACUGACCGAUAGUGAACCAGUACCGUGAGGGAAAGGCGAAAAGAACCCCUGUGAGGGGAGUGAAAUAGAACCUGAAACCGUGUACGUACAAGCAGUAGGAGCAGGCUUUGUCCUGUGACUGCGUACCUUUUGUAUAAUGGGUCAGCGACUUAUAUUCAGUGGCAAGGUUAACCAUCUAGGGGAGCCGUAGGGAAACCGAGUCUUAACUGGGCGUUCAGUCUCUGGAUAUAGACC
rnacentral:rRNA from 1 species